rnacentral:rRNA from 1 species
AGGUCGACGAUUCCGUAGGUGAACCUGCGGAAGGAUCAUUGCAUCGAUCAAAACCAAACCGCGAACCACGUAUCCCCGCUGCGAGGCGUUCCCCUUAGGAGGAGCGACCGACACAGCGCGCCUGUCCCUGACCCGUCUCCUCGGUUCUCGAGGGGCGGCAGGUCUGGCGGGCCGGGGAGACCUCUCUCCGACGUCUCUCGUCGUCGGCUGACGCCUCACCCCGGUCGGCAAAACCCCCAAUCAAAACCACAACCCAAUCGAGCCUGAAGCAGUGGACGGCUGCCCCGUGCGGUCGUCACCAACCAAUGACAACUCUCAACAAUGGAUGUCUUGGCUCCCGUAUCGAUGAAGAACGCAGCGAAAUGCGAUACGUAGUGUGAAUUGCAGAUAAUGUGAAUCAUCGAAUCUUUGAACGCAAAUUGCACUCGAGGCUCCGGCCAAGAGUAUGUCUGCCUCAGCGUCGGCUUCACCCUCUCGCCCCUCCCAAUCGUGGGGGACGGCGGACAUGGCAGUCCCGGUCGCUUCGGUGACCGGGUCCGCUGAAGACCAGAGGCUCGAGCAAGGACCCAAUCGGGACAACAGUCUGGUAGGUGACCCGCAAGGGAUCGCAUGCCGCUGUCGGCCCGGGACUUUGCUGGAGGCCGGAAGGCGCGUCCGGUUAUGGGAACCGGCGCCCCAUCUCAUUCGACCUGAGUUCAGGCAAGGGCACCCGCUGAACUUAAGCAUAU